rnacentral:rRNA from 1 species
CGCCUGUUUAACAAAAACAUGUCCUUUUGAUUGAUAAUUUAAGGUUUGGCCUGCUCUAUGAUAUUUUAAAUGGCCGCGGUAUUUUGACCGUGCUAAGGUAGCAUAAUCAUUAGUUUUUUAAUUGAAAGCUUGUAUGAAAGGUUUAAUGAGAAAUUACCUGUCUCCAAAUUAUUUUUUAUAAUUUUAUCUUUAAGUGAAAAAGCUUAAAUGGUUUUAAAAGACGAGAAGACCCUAUAGAAUUUUGUAUUUUUUUAAAAUGGCAGUUUAUGGAAAUUUUGAUUUGUUUUGAGGAAUUAUUUAGUUGGGGUGACUAGAAAAUUUAGGUAACUUUUUUUAUUAUUUAAUUCAUUAAUUAAUGAUUUUAAGAUCCUUGUUGAGAUUAUAAGAAUUAAUUACCUUAGGGAUAACAGCGUAAUGAUUUUUUAGAGUUCAAAUUAAAAAAAAAGCUUGCGACCUCGAUGUUGGAUUAA